GACGAACGCUGGCGGCGUGCUUAACACAUGCAAGUCGAACGGAAAGGCCCUGCUUUUGUGGGGUGCUCGAGUGGCGAACGGGUGAGUAACACGUGAGUAACCUGCCCUUGACUUUGGGAUAACGUCAGGAAACUGGGGCUAAUACCGGAUAGGAGCUCCUGCUGCAUGGUGGGGGUUGGAAAGUUUCGGCGGUUGGGGAUGGACUCGCGGCUUAUCAGCUUGUUGGUGGGGUAGUGGCUUACCAAGGCUUUGACGGGUAGCCGGCCUGAGAGGGUGACCGGCCACAUUGGGACUGAGAUACGGCCCAGACUCCUACGGGAGGCAGCAGUGGGGAAUAGUGCACAAUGGGCGGAAGCCUGAUGCAGCAACGCCGCGUGCGGGAUGACGGCCUUCGGGUUGUAAACCGCUUUCGCCUGUGACGAAGCGUGAGUGACGGUAAUGGGUAAAGAAGCACCGGCUAACUACGUG
rnacentral:rRNA from 1 species